UACGUAGGCAGCGAGCGUUGUUCGGAAUUACUGGGCGUAAAGGGCUCGUAGGCGGCCAACUAAGUCAGACGUGAAAUCCCUCGGCUUAACCGGGGAACUGCGUCUGAUACUGGAUGGCUUGAGGUUGGGAGAGGGAUGCGGAAUUCCAGGUGUAGCGGUGAAAUGCGUAGAUAUCUGGAGGAACACCGGUGGCGAAGGCGGCAUCCUGGACCAAUUCUGACGCUGAGGAGCGAAAGCCAGGGGAGCAAAGCGGG
rnacentral:rRNA from 1 species